UCCACAACUGUGGAGAUUCAUUGAGAAUGACAUGACGCUCUGCUCCACUAGAGGGAGUAUAUGACUGUUGUUGUGUGUCAUAUGUGGGAGGAGUUCAUAACGGAUAACUAGAAAACGAAAGUGAAAAAAAGACAAAUAAACGACGCCAUUUCAAGACUUCAAAAUGUUAAUACUCGUUUAAAACGGCUGCAUAUAUUGUGGUCUGAAAUAAACACUCUUUGAUAAAUGAGAGUAGGAGGACAUUGACUCAAAAAUGAGUUCUCCAUCUUCUGGAUCAAGCCAAGAUCAACACAUGAUGGAUCAACCCUCUGAAUUCAGUGAUGAAACCAUGACCUCUGACCCCAGUAUCAGAAAAUGGAAGAGAUGCAGUUUAAAGUCUUCGGAUCCCAGUGGUGUGUCUAUGAAGAGUAACAAAUCAAUGAAGCCACCCCUUGCAUUCAGUGAUGGACCAGUGACUCCGAGGGAAAUAUGUGGGCCAUUUUCUACAUCUCACUAUCAGACUCACAUUACACAGGACAACAUUGUAGCAGUCCUACAGAAACACACAAUGGAGACUGGAGACCUGCAGAGAGUCAAAGACCAGCACAAAACCUGCAUGAAAAACAAGUAUGAGAGAUUAUUU